CACGUAGGUGGAUAGUUAAGUGAGGGGUGAAAUCCCGAGGCUCAACCUCGGAACUGCCUUUCAUACUGGCUGUCUUGAGUUCGGAAGAGGUGAGUGGAAUUCCAAGUGUAGAGGUGAAAUUCGUAGAUAUUUGGAAGAACACCGGUGGCGAAGGCGGCUCACUGGUCCGAUACUGACACUGAGGUGCGAAAGCGUGGGGAGCAAACA
rnacentral:rRNA from 1 species